rnacentral:rRNA from 1 species
GACGUAGGGGGCAAGCGUUGUUCGGAAUUACUGGGCGUAAAGCGCGCGCAGGCGGCUAUCCAAGUCAGUGGUGAAAGCCCGGAGCUCAACUCCGGAACUGCCAUUGAAACUGUUUAGCUUGAGGAUGAGAGAGGUGAGUGGAAUUCCCAGUGUAGAGGUGAAAUUCGUAGAUAUUGGGAAGAACACCGGUGGCGAAGGCGGCUCACUGGCUCAUUACUGACGCUCAGGCGCGAUAGCGUGGGGAUCAAACAGG